UAUAAGUUGUGUUGGACCAAUAAUUUAGUGUGUAUAUGUACAUGUCAUUGUUGUGCUAGAGCUCAAAGAAGAGGUGCAAGUGUGUGCACACGUGGGGCAUUAAUAAAAAGUGACGUGUGUGUUAUAUGUGAGUCAAGAAGAAGAGAGGGAGCUCAUUCUUGAGUCCAUCAUUUCUGCUGGAAGAAGCUUAGAAAGAGAGUGAGUUUGAGAGCUCAAAGGGUAUAGAGAAAGAAACCCACUUUGUGAUGGAGAUUGAAGGAAGAACAAGGGGAAUUAAAGGGAAAUCAACUCAAUUUGUUGAAAUUAAAGUUUAAGGUAUGAGAUUUAUGCUUGAUUUAUGUCAAAUCUCCUUCUUAUACUGGAGAUUGAGAAGAGUUUGGAAUUAUAUUCAUGGAAUUAGAAGGAAAUUAGAUAGUUAAAGAAGAAAAAAGCUCGAGUUUUGUGCUGGAAAAUUGAAGAAGUGAACUCAAGAAUUCAACAAUCCAAAGCUCUAGGUCACGCGCUAUCGUCUACCUGAUUUGUCUGAUCUCUCUAAACUAUCUGAUUUGCUUCUGGAGCUAUCUGUGAUCAAGCGCGUGACCAGGCCUAGAGCAUUUUCCUGGAAUCUGUGGUGGAGGUUCUGGAUACAUCAAGUGGUGAACGCUAUGUGAUUAAAGUUUAAAUUUUUGUUUAUUUUAUAAUUAGGGCUAAGUCCCUUUUUGUCUUAUUUGUAUAUAUAUAUAUAUGAUGACGUAAGGAUGAUGU